rnacentral:rRNA from 1 species
GCUUACGGCCAUACCACCCUGAACACGCCCGAUCUCGUCCGAUCUCGGAAGCUAAGCAGGGUCGGGCCUGGUAGUACUUGGAUGGGAGACCGCCUGGGAAUACCAGGUGCUGUAAGCU